rnacentral:misc_RNA from 1 species
CAGAGUUUAUCAUAACUCCCAAACCCAUGUGAACAUACCCUACGUUGCCUCGGCAGGUCGCGCACGUCUACCCGGUAGUACUCUUACCCUAUAGGAGCCUACCCGAUAGCCGCGUGUAAACCUGCCGGCGGCCCAUGAAACUCUGUUUUUUUAAGCCCUGAAUUCUGAAAACAAAAAACAAAAUAAGUUA